rnacentral:tRNA from 1 species
UCUAAUGUGGCAGACUAGUGCCCUGGAUUUAAGCCCCAGAAAUAAAGUUUAACCUUUUUUUAGAA